AUACGUAGGGUGCAAGCGUUAAUCGGAAUUACUGGGCGUAAAGCGUGCGCAGGUGGUUACCUAAGCAGGGGGUGAAAGGCACUGGCUUAACCAAUGUCAGCCCCCUGAACUGGGCUACUUGAGUGCAGGAGAGGAAAGUGGAAUUCCUAGUGUAGCGGUGAAAUGCGUAGAUAUUAGGAGGAACACCAGUGGCGAAGGCGACUUUCUGGACUGUUACUGACACUGAGGCACGAAAGUGUGGGGAGCAAACAGGAUUAGAUACCCUGGUAGUCCACACCGUAAACGAUGAGCACUAGGUGUCGGGUGAGCAAUUUCUCGGUGCCGCAGUUAACGCAUUAAGUGCUCCGCCUGGGGAG
rnacentral:rRNA from 1 species